AUUGAACGCUGGCGGCAGGCCUAACACAUGCAAGUCGAACGAGUGGCGGACGGGUAAGUAAUGUCUGGGAAACUGCCCGAGGGGGGGGGAUAACUGCUGGGAACGGUAGCUAAUCCCGCAUACAAUCGGAUGUGCGCAGAUGUGAUUAGCUAGUGGGGGGGGUAACGGCCCACCUGGGGGACGAUCCCUAGCUGGUCUGAGAGGAUGACCAGCCACACUGGAACUGAGACACGGUCCAGACUCCUACGGGAGGCAGCAGUGGGGAAUAUUGCACAAUGGGCGAAAGCCUGAUGCAGCCAUGCCGCGUGUAUGAAGAAGGCCUUCGGGUUGUAAAGUACUUUCAGCGAGGAGGCGUUACUCGCAGAAGAAGCACCGGCUAACUCCGUGCCAGCAGCCGCGGUAAUUC
rnacentral:rRNA from 1 species